UACGUAGGUGGCAAGCGUUGUUCGGAAUUACUGGGCGUAAAGCGUGCGCAGGCGGUUUUGUAAGACAGGUGUGAAAUCCCCGGGCUCAACCUGGGAACUGCAUUUGUGACUGCAUGGCUAGAGUACGGUAGAGGGGAUGGAAUUCCGCGUGUAGCAGUGAAAUGCGUAGAUAUGCGGAGGAACACCGAUGGCGAAGGCAAUCCCUGGACCUGUACUGACGCUCAUGCACGAAGCGUGGGAGCAAACAGG
rnacentral:rRNA from 1 species